UGAGGGCAUGGCAGCCCACUCCAGCAUUCUUGCCUGGAAAAUCCCAUGGACAGAGGAGCCUGGCGGGAUACAGUCCACAGGGUCGCAAAGAGUCAGACGUGACGGAGUGACUGCGCACAGGAAGUUUUUUUGAGGAAGCCGGGGACUCACACCACCAUUCUCCGUGAGUUUCCUGGUCUGAAAAGAUUGCCAGACAGGAGCUAUUGAAAGUCCCCAUGUCCUGUGUGCAGAUUUUUAAUGGAAACCUCAAACCUGUUACACCACAGGUGAGUCACCUUGCCUCCUUUGAGAACAAAGACAAGUAUCAUGUGAUAUGGCUUUUAUGUGGAAUCCUAAAGAUACAAAUGAACCUAUAUACGGAACAGACGCUCAGACAUAGGAAACAAACAUGAUUACCAAAGGGGAAGUGUGUGUGGGGAGGGAUAAGCUAGGAGGCCGGGCAUGACAGACACACACUACAAUAUACAAAACGGAUAAGCAUCAG
ensembl:lncRNA